CGAACGCUGGCGGCAGGCUUAACACAUGCAAGUCGAGCGCCCCGCAAGGGGAGCGGCAGACGGGUGAGUAACGCGUGGGAACGUACCUUUUGCUACGGAAUAACUCAGGGAAACUUGUGCUAAUACCGUAUGUGCCCUUCGGGGGAAAGAUUUAUCGGCAAAGGAUCGGCCCGCGUUGGAUUAGCUAGUUGGUGAGGUAAAGGCUCACCAAGGCGACGAUCCAUAGCUGGUCUGAGAGGAUGAUCAGCCACACUGGGACUGAGACACGGCCCAGACUCCUACGGGAGGCAGCAGUGGGGAAUAUUGGACAAUGGGCGCAAGCCUGAUCCAGCCAUGCCGCGUGAGUGAUGAAGGCCCUAGGGUUGUAAAGCUCUUUACACCGGUGAAGAUAAUGACGGUAACCGGAGAAGAAGCCCCGGCUAACUUUC
rnacentral:rRNA from 2 species